GAGGCUUUUUCUCAGUGAAGGGACUCUUUGGUGAUUAUUUUUAAUUGUAAACUGAGAGGGACAGUGUGUGUGCUUUUUGCUUUGGGUCACUUUCAUCCACUCGCCAGUUUCGAGGAAACAACUCUGUUCUCAGAGAGAUUCCCGUGGCAUCCCUGGUUUGACUUAUGUUUCCAUAUGGAGGGGCCUGCCCAGAAGGGACACGGAGCCAGGUGGCCACGUGGAGAAGCGCAGAGCCCACGUUGAUCCUUCGGGACUCAACUUGCCCAGGGCACGUCACCGCUGUCAUUUUUCUGCAAGACCAGCCUUGAUUUUGUGUUCUCCUUGCGUUCAUUUUUGAAACCUAAUUCUGGCAACCAGGUAAGUAAGUACAGACUGGUAACACUGUGGAGUUUUCACUGGAAAAAAUAUUAUAUUGUCCUCAGGGUUACAGCAGAAAUAGACCUCUGGUGAGCGUGUCUACAGUUGUCUAGUAUCUUAAUGGAUUUGUUUUUAUCUGAUGUGUUCCUCCAGGUACUUGAAAAGUAAUAGGGUCUUGUGCUCAGCCCACAAGCGUAGCUUGGUUGUGUGAAUGGUCGGUAACAGCAGUCACGGGAAGGUCGGUCUUACCCUCACGUGUUUUGCUCAGGCUCUUUGUAAGCACCUCUGGGUUUCCCACCAUGCACAGGGCCCUCCUGGCGAGGGCCGUGGAUGAUCUAUUAAUAUUGAAACCGACCAUCGUGAGCCCAGGGCCUGGAUGUCACAGGCAUUCCUAAGUACAGUAAGAGAGAGGACCGUCAGUGCAAAGGUGGCCUAAAUGUUUGCAGGCAGAGUGAGAGGUAGUCCUGAGCAUCUGAGUCUGGUCAUCAAAAGUGUUCUGUGUAGCUGGCAUCAAAGGCUGGCACAGCCGAGUCCCCGCGGGAGGCACAGGAGCAGGGCCUCCUCGGGCACACACAGGCCAAGUCCACGUUAGAAACUCGAGUUUGCGUAGUGGUCACUGCACAUGGACGUCUGGGUAGGAGUCUGAACUCACUGGACACCUGUUUGUAGCAGCUGUGAAUCGAGCAGAGGCUGGAUUGUGACACAGGACGGUGAUGGGAGAGCUUACCUGAGGGAAAGGAGCGCCCAUUUCAAUAAAGUCAGUCAUGAUGACCAUUGAAGAAAAACAUGCAGCUCUCUCACUUGCUUUGUUAUUGGAGACAAGUAAGUCGAGGGGAAACCAAGUGGGUUUAAAAUGGUCAGAAUAUAAACAAUACAGUAAUCUGAGAAUCACAUGUGGUAUUUAGUGUAAAGAAUCUGAACUAUGAAGGAACACACUUCAGUUCCACAUCAAGGGUCCCCUGGUGGCACAGUGGAUUAAGGAUCUUGUGUUGUUACUGUGGCGGCGUGGGUUCGAUCCCUGGCCCAGGAACUCCCACAUGCCAUGGGCAUGGCCAAAAAACCCUUCUGUAUCAAGGCUGAGAAAGUGGGCAGCGGUUCUGCAUCCUCCCUUCCUCCCUGUCUCAUGGUGUUAGAGUCACCUCGUGGCUCAAUGAUCAAACUCCUUUACAGAUUGAGUCAUGGCCGAGGCUUUGGUUUUCUCUGUAAUCUGCUAGGAGGACGUCGGCUGGGUGUGGGGAUGUGCUGGGGGCACCCCAGGUGCCCGUGACCGUUGUCCAGGGUGAGUCUGAGGAGGGGGUGCCCUUCCUCCCUGCAGCUCCUGGAUGUGGGUCAGUAUUAGGUCUUUGUCUCUUUAAACAGAUGCCUGAACCCCCUCACUCCUUCCACUGCCCUGCAGAUGCCCAGGCCUGGGAGGUCGGAGGUCAGAGGUUGGAGGUCUCGGCUCCACUGUCUCCAGCCAGGGCCACGGAUGCCCUUUGAUGUGAUUUCUGCUGGAGGGGGGUGUCACCGCCCCCCUGCCGUGAACCUGUAGGGAGGGGGCACCUUCCGGGUCAGGGAAUCUGUUUGGAGGAAUGGACGGUCUGAUGGCUCCUCUUUUCAUCAUGAAUCACUGUUAUGCUGACAUUUUUAUGGAACAUUUGUGAGAAAUGUCUGUGCAAUUUCUGGUGUUUAUUUUUCGAUUAUUUUAUUCUUUCUUGUAACAUUAAGUCCCCUGCUGACAUCGUAGAACAAUUUAAUCAGUUGGGGGAAAAAAAGUCUCUGCUAAAGAAAGUAUGGUUUCAUAGUUUUCCUUGAAUGCAUAAUGGUUUGAGGUAGCUUAUAAGUUUUGAAGAAAAAAAUAAAGACUCACAAAGGCCUCCUGACACACGUGACAAUACAGCACAACAACAAUGGCAGAUGUGCCAAAUUUGCAGAAAUAAAUCACUCUGAGGUUUUGGUUCUGUGAGAUUUAUUGUGAAGUGCUUGGCCAGGGAGAGAGAGUCCCAAGGAAGAGAGCCACCCUUGUACUGGUUGAGUCAGGUCCCCCAGUGCGGCUCGUCAGAUACACAGUCUUUUCAGAGAGCCCUGUCCUUGUGCCCCUUUGGCCUGUGGGCUCCAUGGGAGGAAAGGGAAGUGGAUGCAGCAUUGGCCACUGGGCUGUGGCUAUUGUGACUGUCAUGCUCCAGGGGCUUCUGUGGGUCUGAUGGAAUUAUGGGCUGUCCUGGCCCACGGCUGCCCAGCAGGAAGCUCAGCCUGCUUUUCUGAGACCGGAGUCAACCAUGACUCAGAUGGAACUAAUGCUUAAAACUGGGGUCCAGUGAAUUUUAAGCUCAUUGUGAUAAUCACGGAAAUGGACUCCCUACCCGUCGCUGGUUUGGGGGCUUCGCUGAGCAGCAGCUUCCUUCAGUGGACUCAUUACUCCUGAGAACCAGCCUUGUGGGUUAGAUGGGGGCCGAGGACACUGAGCAGGGCCCCAGGCUGACACAGAGGCCAGGGCUGGGAGACCUUCAGGAAAUCUAGGAAGAAGGAAAAGUGCUGCCCUGGGGGAAUGCGUAUGUGACUAAUCUCCACACUCGAUCGUUGCAUCUGCACACCUGGUGUCGGGGGCGGGCACGCGUGCAGCAAGACGCAGCUUGGGGGCCUGUGCCCGCCAACUGACCUGUUUGGGGGAUACAGAGAAGGAAAUCAAUGAAAGUCUCUCUUGUCUCCUGCGAAGGGAGGUUCCAUUCUCCUCUGAAGUCGUCAGAUAAUAGUAGAGUUCCCGCUGAAGUGCAGAAUCUAUUCGGAUUUCCCCUGAGAUCAGCCUGGCACCCUUCACCACCUGCCUCACGGCUCCAGGUCUGCGCAUCCAUGUUAAGUGUGAAGACCUUUCUGAGGACACUGAGGCUGAGCCCCACAGCCCUGUGCAGGCACAUCCUCACCUGCAGGAUUCUCACCUGCGCAGAGGUGAGACGUGGGCGCUGGUGCCUUUCCCAAGGGAGGCCCUGCACACCGCGUGGCUCCGGUUCCCUGAAUCUGUGCUCGUCCACCAAGAGUUCAGCUGGAAAGUCGAGGCCGCCGCUGUUUGUGAACAGAACUCCUGUCCUCCUGCAACAGGGAGCUCCGUGGAAUACCCUGACACAUUUGGCACCUGACACAUUCCUGCUGGUGAAAGUUGUCCUCACGUGUGUCUCCCUGCGCUGGGACCUGACCAACAGCAAACUGUCCUUGAGGACCGAGCCAGGGUCACAGUGGACACACCCACAUCCAGGGAGGCUUGUGGCCCAGUGUCAUUGCUCCUGGGAGCAAUGCUGGGCGCUCUGAGCGGGUGGCGCCCUCCUGUGCCUGCAGGUUGCCCUUGGCAGGCAGAGUGAAUCCAGUGAGGGCUGAUUGGCCACCCGUUGCUGUGGCAUGUGGGGUCAGGCUGUGUGUCCAGCCUUUGUCACCCAUGUGGGUCACACAUGUGGUUAUGUAGCCUCUGGAGUUCAGCAUCCUGGCCACCGAGAGGAUGGAGCAGUGUUGCCAGCGGGGGGACCAUGCAUCCGCCACCCCAUGUGCUGGUGCCCGUCAUCCCCUGGAGCUCCUGGCAGCCCUGUCAGGCCUGCACUCUGGGUCCUGGGUGUUCGAACAAGAGGCAGAAGGCAGGAUGGAUCAGGGUAGGUUCCCGCUGGAGGAGUGGUCUAAAGAGGUUCCUUCUGUUUCCCUGUGGAAGUGACUACGGCCUCUUUACUCACUCCUUUGUCCUUGUGGGGACAAGGACACACAGUCUGGGCUCUGCCUCUUGUUCCCCUCAAGCUCCAAGCCACACUCGCUCCAUGUGCUCACGAGGCGACAGAGCCAAAACCCAGGAACAUGGCCCUGCUGAUUUGGGCGGGACGGGUAUCUAUAGAGAUAGGCAGCAAGCAGCCCCCUGGAGACGCUGUGACUCAGCCACAGGCUCCGUUCAUGUGCAUCAGAUGGUGAUAGGACCAAGGGAUUCAGCACCCUGCAGAUCACGUUGAUAGUGUAUUAAUGUUUAAAUUAUCCUUUUCUGAGUAUAUAACAAUAGAGCCAAUAUCGUCUAAUCAUCUAGUUAUGGUUAUAAAUAUGCAUGUGACAUGUUAUUGUAUGCCAUGUAUACUAUUUUAUGUAUAAUGCAAGAUUCCAUGUGUAAUCACACAUACAGUUGCAAGUGCACACUUGGCCUCACAGUCCCUGUGGGCAGUCGGCCCUCAGUAGGUGAGGAAGGUCAUGGUUCCCGCAGUGCAGCCUUGCGCCCGCAGUCACACUUUACUUUGGACUCUUUGCCAAAGCCACCCAUUAACUUCUCCCUUCUCUCUUUGUUCCUGGAGUGUCUUUUUUUGCGCAGAGCAGGAGUUAUGUCAGUGAGCCUGGCUUGUAUUGGGUUCUCCGGAUAGAAACGUGGUCCCUGGCCACCAGCCUCCUUGCUGUACCCCCCACUUUGAAAGUGCAAACUGGAGUCUGCACAUGUGUCCCUCCACUCCAGACAGGGUGUCAGCGUGUCCACGUCAAGGAGGAGCAACAUUGUUUUGGUUCCUUGCUGUGUGGCUUUGUUGACUUGUGUCUUUAAUCUUUGCUAAUGUUUAUUUCCAUUAAAUUUCAACAUCAGAGGAAAUAGGAAAGCCCUAUGAAGCAGGAACAGAUGCUCUGUCACCUCCCAUCACGAAGGGUAUGAUUGCAGCCGGUGUGGCAGGACACAGCUGGCUCAUGUGGGUGGGGGCCGUGGACCGGGGUGCUGUGUGGUCACUGGGAGGGGAGCAAGGCCUUGUUUCAGUGGGGAGAGCUGUCACCCCAGAGGACCGCCUGAAAGUCAGGAUGGGUGAAUCUGAGGAAUAUGUUGGUUUGCUUGAACAUGCACCCACAGGCAGUGUCCCUGAGGUGACUGACAGAGUUGUGACUUUGAGGCAUUUGCUCUUGACCUUUGCAGGCCUAGGAACUGCUCAUUUCUCAUGAGAGGAAAACCUGCGCUUCCCGGAAGCAGUCGGUGACCGGGGAGGGUUUUCCUGAAGCUGCAGUGAACUCACU
rnacentral:lncRNA from 1 species